ensembl:lncRNA
CUUCCGCCCGCGCGACGGAAGAGCCAGGCGAGCCGCAGAUAGAUCCUUUCAGGCGGGUACAAAGGGCUGCUUCAGCAGCUUUUUGUUGCGGGCCGGCGUCUUGGCAAAUGAGUCCAGGCCCUGCCAUUUGGCAUUCACGGACCCCCACACCCAGAUGGCAGCGUUCCCCGAGCCAACGAGCCCCUUAUACUUUUGUUCCAUCACUCCGUCUCUCUCUCUCUCUCUCUCUUUCUCUCCCUCUCUUUCCCUUCCGCUCUCUCUCUAUCCCGCUCUCUCGCUCGCCUUCUCUCGUUCACUCUCCCUCUGUCUCCCUUCCGCUCUCUCUCUAUCU